rnacentral:rRNA from 1 species
AAUUGGAUAACCCCGGGAAACUGGGGAUAAUACCCCAUAGACCAGGGACGCUGGAGUGCCUCCUGGGCGAAAGGCCCGCCGCCUGAGGAUGGGUCUCCGGCCAAUUAGGUUGUUGUUGGGGUAACGGCCCAACAUGCCUUUGAUCGUUACGGGUUGUGAGAGCAAGAGCCCGGAGAUUGAUUCUGAGACAAACUCCAGGC